UACGUAGGGUGCGAGCGUUAAUCGGAAUUACUGGGCGUAAAGCGUGCGCAGGCGGUUUUGUAAGCCAGAUGUGAAAUCCCCGGGCUUAACCUGGGAAUGGCAUUUGGGACUGCAAGGCUCGAGUGCGGCAGAGGAGACUGGAAUUCCUGGUGUAGCAGUGAAAUGCGUAGAUAUCAGGAGGAACACCGAUGGCGAAGGCAGGUCUCUGGGCUGACACUGACGCUCAUGCACGAAGCGUAGGGAG
rnacentral:rRNA from 1 species